UGGGGAAUUUUCCGCAAUGGGCGAAAGCCUGACGGAGCAACGCCGCGUGCGGGAGGAAGGCCUUAGGGUUGUAAACCGCUUUUAUCAGGGAAGAACGCAAUGACGGUACCUGAUGAAUAAGCCUCGGCUAAUUCCGUGCCAGCAGCCGCGGUAAUACGGGAGAGGCGAGCGUUAUCCGGAAUUAUUGGGCGUAAAGCGUCCGCAGGUGGCCGAUUAAGUCUGUCGUCAAAUCGUGGAGCUCAACUCCAUACACGCGAUGGAAACUGGUUGGCUAGAGUACGGUAGGGGUAGCGGGAAUUCCAGGUGUAGCGGUGAAAUGCGUAGAUAUCUGGAAGAACACCAGCGACGAAAGUGCGCUACUGGGCCUGUACUGACACUCAUGGACGAAAGCCAGGGGAGC
rnacentral:rRNA from 1 species